GCCCGCCUAGCUCAAUCGGAUAGAGCGUCAGACUUUUAAGGCUUAGGCAGGCAUGAUCUGAAGGCUGCGAGUUCGACCCUCGCGGUGGGCU